rnacentral:rRNA from 1 species
UCUCACAAAUAUACUGAGAAUGUGGAAUUCUAUUCGGAAGCUAAGCAGGGUCGGGUCUGGUUAGUACUUAAAUGGGAGACCACCUGGGAAUACCAGGUAUUUUAAGCU